GAUGAACGCUAGCGGCAGGCCUAAUACAUGCAAGUCGGACGGGAUCGGGGAGCUUGCUCCCCGUGAGAGUGGCGCACGGGUGCGUAGCACGUAUGUAACCUACCUUUAUCAGGGGGAUAGCCUCUCGAAAGAGAGAUUAACACCGCAUAACAUCACAUGAUAGCAUUAUCGAGUGAUCAAAUAUUCAUAGGAUAAAGAUGGGCAUGCGGGACAUUAGCUAGUUGGCGGGAUAACGGCCCACCAAGGCGACGAUGUCUAGGGGAUCUGAGAGGAUGACCCCCCACACUGGUACAGAGACACGGACCAGACUCCUACGGGAGGCAGCAGUAAGGAAUAUUGGUCAAUGGACGCAAGUCUGAACCAGCCAUGCCGCGUGCAGGAGGACGGCCCUACGGGUUGUAAACUGCUUUUGUACCGGAAUAAACCCUUUUACGUGUAAGAGGCUGAAUGUACGGUAAGAAUAAGGAUCGGCUAACUCCGUGCCAGCAGCCGCGGUAA
rnacentral:rRNA from 1 species